rnacentral:rRNA from 1 species
AUGUGAAAUCCCCGAGCUUAACUUGGGAAUUGCAUUCGAUACUGGUUAGCUAGAGUAUGGGAGAGGAUGGUAGAAUUCCAGGUGUAGCGGUGAAAUGCGUAGAGAUCUGGAGGAAUACCGAUGGCGAAGGCAGCCAUCUGGCCUAAUACUGACACUGAGGUGCGAAAGCAUGGGGAGCAAACAGGAUUAGAUACCCUGGUAGUCCAUGCCGUAAACGAUGUCUACUAGCCGUUGGGGGAUUUGAUCCUUUAGUGGCGCAGCUAACGCGAUAAGUAGACCGCCUGGGGAGUACGGUCGCAAGACUAAAACUCAAAUGAAUUGACGGGGGCCCGCACAAGCGGUGGAGCAUGUGGUUUAAUUCGAUGCAACGCGAAGAACCUUACCUGGCCUUGACAUAGUAGAAACUUUCCAGAGAUGGAAAGGUGCCUUCGGGAAUCUACAUACAGGUGCUGCAUGGCUGUCGUCAGCUCGUGUCGUGAGAUGUUGGGUUAAGUCCCGCAACGAGCGCAACCCUUUUCCUUACUUGCCAGCAUUUCGGAUGGGAACUUUAAGGAUACUGCCAGUGACAAACUGGAGGAAGGCGGGGACGACGUCAAGUCAUCAUGGCCCUUACGGCCAGGGCUACACACGUGCUACAAUGGUCGGUACAAAGGGUUGCUACACAGCGAUGUGAUGCUAAUCUCAAAAAGCCGAUCGUAGUCCGGAUCGCAGUCUGCAACUCGACUGCGUGAAGUCGGAAUCGCUAGUAAUCGCGGAUCAGAAUGCCGCGGUGAAUACGUUCCCGGGCCUUGUACACACCGCCCGUCACACCAUGGGAGUUUGUUGCACCAGAAGUAGGUAGUCUAACCGCAAGGAGGACGCUUACCA